AACGAACGCUGGCGGCAUGCCUAACACAUGCAAGUCGAACGAGACCUUCGGGUCUAGUGGCGCACGGGUGCGUCACGCGUGGGAACCUGCCCUUAGGUUCGGAAUACCUCCCCGAAAGGGGUGCUAAUACCGGAUAAUGUCUUCGGACCAAAGAUUUAUCGCCUUUGGAUGGGCCCGCGUUGGAUUAGCUAGUUGGUAGGGUAAAAGCCUACCAAGGCGACGAUCCAUAGCUGGUCUGAGAGGAUGAUCAGCCACACUGGGACUGAGACACGGCCCAGACUCCUACGGGAGGCAGCAGUGGGGAAUAUUGGACAGUGGGCGAAAGCCUGAUCCAGCAAUGCCGCGUGAGUGAUGAAGGCCUUAGGGUUGUAAAGCUCUUUUACCCGGGAUGAUAAUGACAGUACCGGGAGAAUAAGCUCCGGCUAACUCCGUG
rnacentral:rRNA from 1 species